UUCUCACAGUGCGAGCAUUAUUAGGCUUUACUGGGUGUAAAGGGUAUGUAGGUGGCUUUUUAAGGUAAAUAUAAAAUACUAGAAAAAUAUUAUUUAGAAAUAUAUUUAUAUACUAUUAAGCUUGAGAUUUUAAGGUUUUAGCGGAAAGAUUCGAGAAAACAGUAACAUGUCAAUCUCGAGGGGAAUGUCAAAGGUGAAAACAGCUACUACUUCUAAUCUGACGCUGAGGUACGAGGAAAUGGGAAACAAAUCGG
rnacentral:rRNA from 1 species